rnacentral:rRNA from 1 species
AACGAACGCUGGCGGCAGGCCUAACACAUGCAAGUCGAACGAGAAGCCACCUUCGGGUGGUGGACAGUGGCAGACGGGUGAGUAACGCGUGGGAACGUGCCUUUCGGUUCGGGAUAACCCAGGGAAACUUGGGCUAAUACCGGAUACGCCCUUCGGGGGAAAGAUUCAUUGCCGAAAGAUCGGCCCGCGUCGGAUUAGCGAGUUGGUGGGGUAAAAGCCUACCAAGGCGACGAUCCGUAGCUGGUCCGAGAGGAUGACCAGCCACACUGGGACGGAGACGCGGCCCAGACCCCGAGGGGAGGCAGCAGUGGGGAAUAUUGGACAAUGGGCGCAAGCCUGAUCCAGCCAUGCCGCGUGGGUGAAGAAGGCCUUAGGGUUGUAAACCCCUUUCAGCGGGGAAGAUAAUGACGGUACCCGCAGAAGAAGUCCCGGCUAACUCCGUGCCAGCAGCCGCCGUAA